rnacentral:rRNA from 1 species
GAGGGAUAUUGCACAAUGGGCGCAAGCCUGAUGCAGCGACGCCGCGUGAGUGAUGAAGGCCUUCGGGUCGUAAAACUCUUUUGCCGAUGACGAGGAAGGACGGUAGUCGGCGAAUAAGCAUCGGCUAACUACGUGCCAGCAGCCGCGGGAAUACGUAGGGGACGAGCGUUGUCCGGACUUACUGGGGGUAAAGGGCGCGUAGGCGGGUUAGCAAGUGCGGUUGGAAAUACCGGGGCUCAGCUACGGGG